CUCUUCGGACCUUGCACUAUCGGAUGAACCCAUAUGGGAUUAGCUAGUAGGUGGGGUAAAGGCUCACCUAGGCGACGAUCUCUAGCUGGUCUGAGAGGAUGAUCAGCCACACUGGGACUGAGACACGGCCCAGACUCCUACGGGAGGCAGCAGUGGGGAAUAUUGCACAAUGGGCGCAAGCCUGAUGCAGCCAUGCCGCGUGUAUGAAGAAGGCCUUAGGGUUGUAAAGUACUUUCAGCGGGGAGGAA
rnacentral:rRNA from 1 species